rnacentral:rRNA from 1 species
GAUAAGGUUAAGUUAAUAAGGGCGCACGGUGGAUGCCUUGGCACUAGAAGCCGAAGAAGGACGUGACUAACGACGAAAUGCUUUGGGGAGCUGUAAGUAAGCGCUGAUCCAGAGAUGUCCGAAUGGGGGAACCCGGCAGGUUAAUGCCUGUCAUCACUAGUUGUUAAGACUAGCUGAAGGAAGACGCAGUGAACUGAAACAUCUAAGUAGCUGCAGGAAGAGAAAGCAAACGCGAUUGCCUUAGUAGCGGCGAGCGAAACGGCAGGAGGGCAAACCGAGGAGUUUACUCCUCGGGGUUGUAGGACUGCGACGUGGGACUAGACGACAUAGAAGAAUGACCUGGGAAGGUCAGCCAGAGAGAGUAACAGCCUCGUAUUUAAAAUGUUUGUAUAGCCCUAGCAGUAUCCUGAGUACGGCGAGACACGCGAAAUCUCGUCGGAAUCUGGGAGGACCAUCUCCCAACCCUAAAUACUCUCUAGUGACCGAUAGUUGAACCAGUACCGUGAGGGAAAGGUGAAAAGCACCCCGGGAGGGGAGUGAAAUAGAACCUGAAACCGUGUGCCUACAACAAGUUCGAGCCCGUUAAUGGGUGAGAGCGUGCCUUUUGUAGAAUGAACCGGCGAGUUACGCUAUGAUGCGAGGUUAAGUUGAAGAGACGGAGCCGUAGGGAAACCGAGUCUUAAUAGGGCGACAUAGUAUCAUGGUGUAGACCCGAAACCAUGUGACCUACCCAUGAGCAGGUUGAAGGUGAGGUAAAACUCACUGGAGGACCGAACCAGGGCACGUUGAAAAGUGCUUGGAUGACUUGUGGGUAGCGGAGAAAAUUCCAAACGAACUUGGAGAUAGCUGGUUCUCUCCGAAAUAGCUUUAGGGCUAGCGUCGAUGUUAAGUCUCUUGGAGGUAGAGCACUGUUUGGGUGAGGGGUCCAUCCCGGAUUACCAAUCUCAGAUAAACUCCGAAUGCCAAUGAGAUAUAAUCGGCAGUCAGACUGCGAGUGCUAAGAUCCGUAGUCGAAAGGGAAAACAGCCCAGACCACCAGCUAAGGUCCCAAAAUAUAUGUUAAGUGGAAAAGGAUGUGGGGUUGCACAGACAACUAGGAUGUUAGCUUAGAAGCAGCUAUUCAUUCAAAGAGUGCGUAAUAGCUCACUAGUCGAGUGACCCUGCGCCGAAAAUGUACCGGGGCUAAAACAUAUUACCGAAGCUGUGGAUGACCAUUUAGGUCAUGGUAGGAGAGCGUUCUAUGUGUGAAGAAGGUGUACCGUGAGGAGCGCUGGAACGCAUAGAAGUGAGAAUGCCGGUAUGAGUAGCGCAAGACAGGUGAGAAUCCUGUCCACCGUAAGACUAAGGUUUCCAGGGGAAGGCUCGUCCGCCCUGGGUUAGUCGGGACCUAAGGAGAGACCGAACGGUGUAUCCGAUGGCCAACAGGUUGAUAUUCCUGUACUAGAGUAUAUAGUGAUGGAGGGACGCAGUAGGCUAACUCAACCCAGCGACUGGAAGAGCUGGGCUAAGCAGUGAGGCGUGGUAUGAGUCAAAUGCUUAUACCUAUAACGUUGAGCUGUGAUGGGGAGCGAAGUUUAGUAGUGAAGUGAGUGAUGUCACACUGCCAAGAAAAGCUUCUAGCGUUAAUUAUACUCUACCCGUACCGCAAACCGACACAGGUAGUCGAGGCGAGUAGCCUCAGGUGAUCGAGAGAACUCUCGUUAAGGAACUCGGCAAAAUGACCCCGUAACUUCGGGAGAAGGGGUGCUGUCUUUAGACAGCCGCAGUGAAUAGGCCCAAGCAACUGUUUAUCAAAAACACAGCUCUCUGCUAAAUCGUAAGAUGAUGUAUAGGGGGUGACGCCUGCCCGGUGCUGGAAGGUUAAGAGGAGUGCUUAGGAGUAAUCCGAAGGUAUGAAUUGAAGCCCCAGUAAACGGCGGCCGUAACUAUAACGGUCCUAAGGUAGCGAAAUUCCUUGUCGGGUAAGUUCCGACCCGCACGAAAGGCGUAAUGAUUUGGGCACUGUCUCAACGAGAGACUCGGUGAAAUUUUAGUACCUGUGAAGAUGCAGGUUACCCGCGACAGGACGGAAAGACCCCAUGGAGCUUUACUGCAGUUUGAUAUUGAGUAUCUGUACCACAUGUACAGGAUAGGUAGGAGCCUAAGAAGUUGGAAACGCCAGUUUCAAUGGAGGCGUUGUUGGGAUACUACCCUUGUGUUAUGGCUACUCUAACCCAGAUAGGUAAUCCCUAUCGGAGACAGUGUCUGACGGGCAGUUUGACUGGGGCGGUCGCCUCCUAAAAGGUAACGGAGGCGCCCAAAGGUUCCCUCAGACUGGUUGGAAAUCAGUCGCAGAGUGUAAAGGUAUAAGGGAGCUUGACUGCGAGAGCUACAACUCGAGCAGGGACGAAAGUCGGGCUUAGUGAUCCGGUGGUUCCGUAUGGAAGGGCCAUCGCUCAACGGAUAAAAGCUACCCUGGGGAUAACAGGCUUAUCUCCCCCAAGAGUUCACAUCGACGGGGAGGUUUGGCACCUCGAUGUCGGCUCGUCGCAUCCUGGGGCUGUAGUCGGUCCCAAGGGUUGGGCUGUUCGCCCAUUAAAGCGGCACGCGAGCUGGGUUCAGAACGUCGUGAGACAGUUCGGUCCCUAUCCGUCGCGGGCGUAGGAAAUUUGAGAGGAUCUGCUCCUAGUACGAGAGGACCAGAGUGGACUUACCGCUGGUGUACCAGUUGUCUCGCCAGAGGCAUCGCUGGGUAGCUAUGUAGGGAAGGGAUAAGCGCUGAAAGCAUCUAAGUGCGAAGCCCACCUCAAGAUGAGAUUUCCCAUAACGUUAUGUUAGUAAGAGCCCUGAAAGAAGAUCAGGUAGAUAGGUUAGAAGUGUACGUGUGGUGACACAUUAAGCGGACUAAUACUAAUCGCUCGAGGACUUAUCCAAAA